ACACAUACGCAGGGGAACCCCUCCACGGGGUUGAGAAGGCAUGUGCCUGACCCUUUGAACCUGUUGGCCAACACCAGCGUAGGGAGACGAAUACCAUGGCCCC
rnacentral:ncRNA from 1 species